rnacentral:rRNA from 1 species
AUACGUAGGGGGCGAGCGUUGUCCGGAAUGAUUGGGCGUAAAGGGCGCGUAGGCGGCCCGGUAAGUCUGGAGUGAAAGUCCUGUUUUUAAGAUGGGGAUUGCUUUGGAUACUGUCGGGCUUGAGUGCAGGAGAGGUAAGUGGAAUUCCCAGUGUAGCGGUGAAAUGCGUAGAGAUUGGGAGGAACACCAGUGGCGAAGGCGACUUACUGGACUGUAACUGACGCUGAGGCGCGAAAGUGUGGGGAGCAAACAGGAUUAGAUACCCUGGUAGUCCACACUGUAAACGAUGAAUGCUAGGUGUAGGGGGUAUCGACCCCUUCUGUGCCGCAGUCAACACAAUAAGCAUUCCGCCUGGGGAGUACGGCCGCAAGGUUGAAACUCAAAUGAAUUGACGGGG